rnacentral:rRNA from 1 species
UACGUAGGGGGCAAGCGUUGUCCGGAUUUAUUGGGCGUAAAGAGCGUGUAGGCGGCUUUACAGGUCCGUUGUGAAAACUCGAGGCUCAACCUCGAGACGCCGGUGGAAACCGUAAAGCUAGAGUCCGGAAGAGGAGAGUGGAAUUCCUGGUGUAGCGGUGAAAUGCGCAGAUAUCAGGAGGAACACCGGUGGCGAAGGCGGAUCUCUGGGCCAGUACUGACACUGAGGAGCGAAAGCGUGGGUAGCAAACAGG